GACGAACGCUGGCGGCGUGCUUAACACAUGCAAGUCGAACGGAAAGGCCCUGCUUUUGUGGGGUGCUCGAGUUGCGAACGGGUGAGUAACACGUGAGUAACCUGCCCUUGACUUUGGGAUAACUUCAGGAAACUGUGGCUAAUACCGGAUAGGAGUUCCUGCUGCAUGGUGUUGGUUGGAAAGUUUCGGCGGUUGGGGAUGGACUCGCGGCUUAUUUGCUUGUUGGUGGGUUAGUGGCGUACCAAGGCUUUGACGGGUAGCCGGUCUGAGAGGGUGACCGGGCCCAUAGGGGCCGCAACGCGAGCCGUAGUCUUCCGGGGGGCAUCAGCGGGGAUCUUAGCUCGUGGAGAGGCAGGGUGAUGCAGAGUCGCCGGGGGCGGCAUCACGGCCUUCCGAGUAAAAACCGUUUGAGCCUGUGACGAAGCCUCAGUGACGGUAAUGGGAAAGGAAGCUCCGGCUAACUACGUG
rnacentral:rRNA from 1 species